CAUUCUCUUCCUGGUACUCGACUACCGUUUUCUCAACUGCCCCGAAAAUCUCCACAGCAGCCACCGUUAAACGCUCAUUUAAGAACACGCGCAACAUUUGUAAUGUAGACAUGUUUAGUCGACUGAGAGAACUGAGAGACGGCUAGGCCAUGGUGGAAGACACCGGCUGUUCACACCAGAACAGGAGACCGCUAUUGUGAACAUGGUGGUGGCAAACAAUACCAUUAGACUACGAGAAAUCCAGAACCACAUAAUUACAGACAACACAAUAUUCAAUAACAUUCACCAGGUGGGCUUGUCUACAUUGGACCGUGUAUUACAGUGCAACCGAAUCCGGAUGAAACAGGUCUACAGGGUGCCAUUUGAGCGAAACUCAGAGAGGGUUAAAGAACAGCGCUAUGAAUAUGUGCAAAGUCUUGGAGCUGGAUGCCGCUGCAAUUCAGCCAGUUUAUAUUUACAUUGAUGAGGCUGGCUUCAACCUGGCCAAAAGAAGGGGACGGAACAUUAUUGGCCAUUGUGAAUGUCCCUGGACAGCGUGGAGGGAAUAUCACCAUGUGCGCAGCCAUUAGCCAGCAAGGCGUCCUCCAUCACCAUGCCAACCUUGGUCCAUACAACACCGCCCUUCUCAUCACAUUCCUGGACACACUACAUGGCAUCCUCAUUCCAGCCGAGCAGAGGGUGGACCAGAGCAGCCCAGGUAUGUUGUCAUCUGGGACACUGUGAGUUUCCACCGGGCUGCUCUGGUCCGCAACUGGUUCAUCGACCAGCCACAAUUUAUUGUUCUAUACCUCCAAUCAUAUUCCCCAUUCCUAAACCCAAUUGAAGAGUUUAUUCCGGCAUGGCGAUGGAAGGUGUAUGACCACCAUCCCCUCGCACGCAUGCCUCUUCUCCAGGCAAUGGAGGAUACGUGGUGAAGUUGAUGUGGGGGCUUUCGGCGGCUGGAUCCGUCACUCCAGAAGAUUCUUUCCCCGCUGUUUAUUCAGGGAGAACAUCGCUUGUGAUGUAGAGGCCCGGAAUUAGCCUGCGUUCCCCAUUGGAGGAGGGGGGUACAUCCCCAUUGGUAGGGGAGGUGGAGGCUUGCUCUGUAAAAUGAAAUAUCAACAAAAUGUAAAAACAAGUAGUACGCAACCAUAUAACACGCUCAAAGUUCAAAUACAAUUAAAAUGCUCUGAUUUAAAAUGACAGUGGAAAGUUGUUACCAUCUCCUGUGCAGCUGCUCUGCACUCUUAUCCACCCAUCUACUGAGAGUCUGAUCCCACACAAUCUGUGGAAGAAGAUGAUAGGAAUGAGAAUCAGUAUUUAACCAUCUACCGUUUUCUAUCUUCAACUAUCACUCAACCAUUUCCAAAUGACAAACUCUUUGUGUCCUGUGUAUUGCGCUUGGUGUAUUAUUCCACUAAUGUUUCUCGACAGGAUAUGAAUAUUUGUUGUCAUCUGAGAGGUGGUCCUUCUUACGCCCGAAGCCCAGCCAGCCCUCUCUGCUGGUCUUGCACUUUACAUCCAGGGGCGCCACAGUUGGUCGGCUCUGGACCACUUGCAGGAGUUUGAGUUGGUCCGUUGGGGGCAGAAGGACGUUCAGUCACGGGGCUGGUCUUCUAUUCCUGGCCCAGGACGUCCACAUACAGUGCAUUCAAAAAGUAUUCAGACCCCUUGACUUUUUCCACAUUUUGUUACGUUACAUCCUUAUUGUAAAAUGAAUUAGAUUUUUUUUUACACACGAUACUCCAUAAUGACAAAGCAACAACUGUUUUUUAGAAAUUGGAACAAAUUUAUAA